UUCUCAGACAUGUCUGCCAUUCUUUCUAAAUGUAUUGUGGAAAUCUCACGAGAAGGGCCAGAAAUCUUGUGAGAAGGGCUGCGAGAAGGGCCAGAAAUCUCGCGAGAGGCCACCGGAUCAAAGGGCAUUGAGUCCUAGACAUCCAGCAAUCUACAAUGAGCCUGGGAGUCGGAAAGGGUAGCCAGUCAGCCAACAAAAGCAACACUCUUGACCAUACAGUCACCGAGAGUGGAAGAUGGAACAGAUGGCAGCAGGUGUGGGGUACAGUCAGGCUCCAGAUCAGCUGGCCAAUAGAAGCUUCCUCCAGAGGCCCCUAUGUCAUCACAGGGAACAGAGGAGCCUCAUUUGUGGACCAAGGGGCAGGAGAAGGCAGUGGUGUCAAUUCAGGGAGCAUUGGGAGGAUGCCUAUUUGCAAAUGGGAAGGGCAAAAGGAGGAGCUGCCAA